CAAUAGCGUAUAUUAACGUUGUUGCAGUUAAAAAGCUCGUAGUUGGAUUUCUGGAGGGAGCGUCGGCCCGUAUUUACGAGUGCGUGACGUCUCUGUCCAUCCUUGCGGGAAGGCACGGCAUUGAUUUGUUGUGUCGGAUCGCAUCAUUUACUGUGAAAAAAUUGGAGUGUUCAAAGCAGGCUUUCGCUUGAAUACAUUAGCAUGGAAUAAUAAGAUAGGACUUUGGUGCUAUUUUGUUGGUUGAGCCUAAAGUAAUGAUUAAUAGGGAUAGUUGGGGGCACCUGUAUUGCGUUGUCAGAGGUGAAAUUCUUGGAUUUACGCAAGACAAACAGCUGCGAAAGCGUCUGCCAAGGAUGUUUUCAUUAA
rnacentral:rRNA from 1 species